ACAAAAUUUUUGGUUUUAUGUAAUAGUAGUGAAUAAAAAUUUGAAUAAAAAAACUCUUAAACACAACUUUAUUGUUUUGGUAGGGUUACAUUUUACUUUAACUAUUGAAAAUUUAGUGUCUGCAUUGAGAUUCACUGUACGUGUAAAAUACACAGCAGAUUUUAAAGACUGAGUACAAAAAAGAGUAGGAAAUAGCUCAUGUUGAGAUGAUAGUAUUUUGGACAUAUUGGGUUAAAUAAAACACAUUAUUGAAAUUAAUUUUUUUAACAUGGCUUUUAUAAACUUUAAGAUGGCAUAUGUGGUUCCCAUUAUAUUUCUAGCACUGGUCUGAACCCUCCACUCACCACAGCUCCCGGCAGCUGGGAGAAGAAGCUGGGCACACAAUUGGGUAAUUGUAAUGCCAUGAGGGCCUUUACACAAUGGAGGAGUCCCAAAACCAAAAAACUAAACACGUUGCCGUCAAGUUGAUUCUGACUCACAGUGACCCUAUAGCAACCUUACAGCGUCCCCAGGUGGGGUGUAAAUGGCUAACAUACCUGGCUGCUAACAGUUCAAGUUUACUCAGAGGCACUUCGGAAGAAAAGCUUGAUGAUCUAAAGCAGCCAUUCAAAACUCCAAGCUUGUGAGCAGCCGUCUAAGAUGCACCAAUUGGUCCCAUCCCACUUGGAGUAAAGGAGAAUGAAGAAAAGCAAAGAUGCAAGGGAAAUAUUAGCCCAAGGACAAAAGGACCACGUAAACCAGAGACUCCACCAGCCUGAGACCAGAAGAACUAGAUGGUGCCCAGCCACCACUGAUGACCGCCCUGACAGGGAACAUAACAGAGAGUCCCAGAUGGAGCAGGAGUGUGAACCAGAACUCAAAUUCACAGAAAAAGACCAGCCUUAAUGAUAUGACAGAGACUGAAGGAACCCCUGAAACUAUGGCCCCCUGAUGCUCUGUUAACUUAGAACUGAAACCAUUUCUGAAGCCACUCUUUAUACAAAGAUUAGACGGAACUAUAAAACAAAAAAUAAUA